UGAAGCUGGAAUUGCUAGUAAUGGCAGGUCAGCAUACUGCCGUGAAUACGUUCCCGGGCCCUUGUACACACCGCCCGUCACACCAUGAGAGUUGGAAAUACCCGAAGCCUGUGAGCUAACUGUAAAGAGGCAGCAGUCGAAGGUAGAGCCAAUGAUUGGGGUGAAGUCGUAACAAGGUACC
rnacentral:rRNA from 1 species